CGGCACGGGUGAGUAACACGUAUCCAACCUGCCGUCUACUCUUGGACAGCCUUCUGAAAGGAAGAUUAAUACAAGAUGGCAUCAUGAGUCCACAUGUUCACAUGAUUAAAGGUAUUCCGGUAGACGAUGGGGAUGCGUUCCGUUAGAUAGUAGGCGGGGUAACGGCCCACCUAGUCUUCGAUGGAUAGGGGUUCUGAGAGGAAGGUCCCCCACAUUGGAACUGAGACACGGUCCAA
rnacentral:rRNA from 1 species